CUUGGUCAUUUAGAGGAAGUAACGGUCGUAACAAGGUUUCCGUAGGUGAACCUGCGGAAGGAUCAUUAACAAAUAUGUGAGCGCUCCAAUUUGGAGAGCUACAUUUGCCCGCGAGGUGCUCUGGCGCUUCAAGGCACAUAUAUACGCGUGUUUGUGUGACUGUUUUGAUGUUUUAAAUUUAUACAACCUUUAACAAUGGAUCUCUUGGCUCUUGCAACGAUGAAGAACGCAGUAAAGUGCGAAAUGUAAUGCGAUUUGCAUGAAUCUGCGAGUCAUCAAGUCUUUGAACGCAACUGCGCUCUUGGCGUAAGUCAAGAGUAUACCUGGUUGAGAAUUGUAUCCUCUUCACGCAAGUGAAUGUGAUCCUUCAAGGCGCAAGCUUUAGGAUUUAAAUGAAGGAGAAGGGCGUUGGCCACUAGUUGCCAGCAUUGUGUGAUAGAGACCCCUGGGUCUACUCAUGAUGCUGGUGGCGCUGGCCAACAUCUAACCCUUCUAUAAACUUCUUGUCUUCAAUCUCAAAUCAGGUAAGGCUACCCGCUGAACUUAAGCAUAUCAAUAAGCGGAGGA
rnacentral:rRNA from 1 species